rnacentral:rRNA from 1 species
GAUGAACGCUGGCGGCGUGCCUAAUACAUGCAAGUCGAGCGAACGGACGAGAAGCUUGCUUCUCUGAUGUUAGCGGCGGACGGGUGAGUAACACGUGGAUAACCUACCUAUAAGACUGGGAUAACUUCGGGAAACCGGAGCUAAUACCGGAUGAUAUUUUGAACCGCAUGGUUCAAAAGUGAAAGACGGUCUUGCUGUCACUUAUAGAUGGAUCCGCGCUGCAUUAGCUAGUUGGUAAGGUAACGGCUUACCAAGGCAACGAUGCAUAGCCGACCUGAGAGGGUGAUCGGCCACACUGGAACUGAGACACGGUCCAGACUCCUACGGGAGGCAGCAGUAGGGAAUCUUCCGCAAUGGGCGAAAGCCUGACGGAGCAACGCCGCGUGAGUGAUGAAGGUCUUCGGAUCGUAAAACUCUGUUAUUAGGGAAGAACAUAUGUGUAAGUAACUGUGCACAUCUUGACGGUACCUAAUCAGAAAGCCACGGCUAACUACGUGCCAGCAGCCGCGGUAAUACGUAGGUGGCAAGCGUUAUCCGGAAUUAUUGGGCGUAAAGCGCGCGUAGGCGGUUUUUUAAGUCUGAUGUGAAAGCCCACGGCUCAACCGUGGAGGGUCAUUGGAAACUGGAAAACUUGAGUGCAGAAGAGGAAAGUGGAAUUCCAUGUGUAGCGGUGAAAUGCGCAGAGAUAUGGAGGAACACCAGUGGCGAAGGCGACUUUCUGGUCUGUAACUGACGCUGAUGUGCGAAAGCGUGGGGAUCAAACAGGAUUAGAUACCCUGGUAGUCCACGCCGUAAACGAUGAGUGCUAAGUGUUAGGGGGUUUCCGCCCCUUAGUGCUGCAGCUAACGCAUUAAGCACUCCGCCUGGGGAGUACGACCGCAAGGUUGAAACUCAAAGGAAUUGACGGGGACCCGCACAAGCGGUGGAGCAUGUGGUUUAAUUCGAAGCAACGCGAAGAACCUUACCAAAUCUUGACAUCCUUUGACAACUCUAGAGAUAGAGCCUUCCCCUUCGGGGGACAAAGUGACAGGUGGUGCAUGGUUGUCGUCAGCUCGUGUCGUGAGAUGUUGGGUUAAGUCCCGCAACGAGCGCAACCCUUAAGCUUAGUUGCCAUCAUUAAGUUGGGCACUCUAAGUUGACUGCCGGUGACAAACCGGAGGAAGGUGGGGAUGACGUCAAAUCAUCAUGCCCCUUAUGAUUUGGGCUACACACGUGCUACAAUGGGCAAUACAAAGGGCAGCGAAACCGCGAGGUCAAGCAAAUCCCAUAAAGUUGUUCUCAGUUCGGAUUGUAGUCUGCAACUCGACUACAUGAAGCUGGAAUCGCUAGUAAUCGUAGAUCAGCAUGCUACGGUGAAUACGUUCCCGGGUCU